rnacentral:rRNA from 1 species
CCUACGGGUGGCAGCAGUGAGGAAUAUUGGUCAAUGGACGAGAGUCUGAACCAGCCAAGCCGCGUGAGGGAUGAAUGUCCUCUGGGUUGUAAACUUCUUUUAUAAAGGAAUAAAAGCGGGCACGUGUCCCUUUUUGCAUGUACUUUAUGAAAAAGGAUCGGCUAACUCCGUGCCAGCAGCCGCGGUAAUACGGAGGAUCCGAGCGUUAUCCGGAUUUAUUGGGUUUAAAGGGAGCGUAGAUGGUUUGUUAAGUCAGUUGUGAAAGCUUGCGGCUCAACCGUAAACUUGCAAUUGAUACUGGCAGUCUUGAGUACAGAUGAGGUAGGCGGAAUUCGUGGUGUAGCGGUGAAAUGCUUAGAUAUCACGAAGAACCCCGAUUGCGAAGGCAGCUUACUAAACUGUGACUGACAUUGAGGCUCGAAAGUGUGGGUAUCAAACAGGAUUAGAUACCCUAGUAGUC